rnacentral:rRNA from 1 species
GUCCGCAACGAGCGCAACCCCUGUUCAUAGUUGCCAUCAGGUUAUGCUGGGAACUCUAUGGAGACUGCCGGUGACAAACCGGAGGAAGGUGGGGACGACGUCAAGUCCUCAUGGCCCUUACACCCAGGGCUACACACGUACUACAAUGGCCGGUACAGUAGGUCGCAAUACCGCGAGGUGGAGCCAAUCCCUAAAACCGGCCUCAGUUCAGAUUGGAGUCUGCAACUCGACUCCAUGAAGGCGGAAUCGCUAGUAAUCGCUGAUCAGCAGGCAGCGGUGAAUACGUUCCCGGGCCUUGUACACACCGCCCGUCACACCAC